CUUUGUAUAUUAUUCUGCAUAUAUUCUACGUCGUGUAUAGAGUUGAAAUUUUCAAUGAUGACAAUCGAAUUGAAUGCCGUUUCCAUCUGCCUCUAAACGAUGGAUUUAGCAGAUCAAAUCGAUGACUAUAUCUGUUCAUUCGAAGGACUUGGUGACUUAACAAUGGACUCGCUAGCCAUGUUUAUCUUUCUGUGGGCCGUGUUGACCCUCUUCUCCGUCUGGCUGUGCAAGUUACUCUACAACAAGUAUCUGAACAAGGAAAAGUCCGGCAGUGCCAGCAAUAGUAGGCAGACCAGCGUUGCGCCGAGCACUGCAGCGACAGGAAGUGGUGCGAAGGGCACCGAGAAGCGUCUGUCCGAGCCACGCGACAUGCUGGCCACGAAAUCCAAAGUAGAAGAUCUAUCGAAACCACUGACAGGUGGUGCGGCGGGCCGCGGUCGCUCCACAGCCUCGCCCAUGGGUGGUGGCAGUGGUGGCGCUGCAGGCGGACCACGUCGCCGUAUGGUGCGUCAAAGCUCAACGGGACCGGAAAAUCGCAAGAAACGUUAUGUGCCACCGCCCUCAAAUGUUGUGGGACCGGAGACGAGCUCCGUUACGUGGACUAGCCAGGUGUUCCGCUGGCUGUAUAGCGACCUAGUUAUUGUGAAUGAGUUGCUCAUGUCCUGGGUUAUAGCGCUCAACGACACGCUGCGCAAAUCGGUCGAGGAGCAUGGCGUGGCCGUUGAAGUUGUCCGCGUGCUGCCCGACAGCCCCGCACCUGGUCUGAACAAUAUUUUCUGCAACUGCGAGGAGCAGAAUCCGGCCGAGAUGCUCAUCACAUUCGACUGCGAUGCCAUGCCCGUGCUUCAGGUUAAGACCUUCCGGCAGAAGUCCGGAAAGGUGGAGACAUCGCAUUACAAGGUGACGGUGUCGCGAUUCCGUGCACGCAUGGCCAUACCAAUGAACUAUAAUACACUGAAGGGUGAGAUGCGUGUCGAGGGCUAUCCCGAUGUGCGCAUUGCGAUGAACAGUGUGGGUGCUAUUAAGGCUUUGGAUCAGGACGAGCAACAAUUGCAGACCGUCAUCAGCGACAUUCUAACAACAGCACUGCGCGAUACCAUCUACCCGGUGGACUUUUCCAUGUACUCCACCUGUCCGCGCGCCGAAGUGGAGCCAAUAGAGUUGCCUGUAAUAUAUCCCGUCCACUAUGACUCCCUGGCGCACAACAUGGAGCAUCUGGGCCUGGGAAAUCUGCGCGACUCACAACACAUGGUCUCCGGACGACGCUUGCUGGUGAAGAUUGUCAAAGGCGAGGGUCUGCGGGACGCCCACGAUCCCUAUGUGGUUAUCGAAAUGGACGAGCCGGCGCAGAAGAAUCAGACGGGCACACAGCGCGGCAGCAAACCCUUCUGGGAUGAGCAUUUCCUCUUCGAACUCUCCCCCCAGUCUGCCGAAAUACUCUUUGAGGUCUAUGACCGUCCAGUGAUAGCCUCCGAUCCGCCCAAGUUCCUGGGCCUUGGCCUGGUCGGCAUUGAUGAGCUGGCCGUGGGUCCGGCCUCUACGCAAUUGUUAACCCUGCAGCCGCGUCCCUAUGAGACGCAGCAAGUGGCGGGCGCCAUUACCGUGGACUUUGUGUUCAUUGAGGGCGCCGAGAUUCCUGCCGGACCCCGUUCCCACAAACUAAAGGAGGCAAUGCGUCUCAGCACGCCCGCCAUCAAUGAACAUAUGCGCAAUGGCGCCGAUCUGGCGGAUGCGGCGGUUCGCGCCCUUCAAGAUGGUGCCCUUUCCACCUCGGCCAACGGCCAACAGCCCAGCAAGAGCACGCUAAUCAUUCACAGUGUUCAACGGAAUUCAAGCAGCCCCAAUGCAUACAAGGUCGAAUUGAACAAGGAUGGCCAAAUCGAGGUACUCGAGGCCCAAUCUCCGACAGAGCUCGAUCAGGUCGUGGCACAGGCCUUUGAGCGUGCGGCAAAUGAGGCCGCCAGUGCGGCAUUAAUUGAGGCAGAGACCGAUGCUGCAGCUGUGGCAACAGGUCUCUCGGCUGCCAAGUCCAACGAGUUAAUAAACGAAACAGGUAACGCCAGCGAGGACAACACUGCCGAGUUCGGCCAGCCCAAUGCCGCCUCCUCGCCCAACGGCAGUGGUUAUCACAACAACUACAGCUUGAACGGCAACAGCAAUCUGGCCGGCCAGGGCAAUGGGAGCGGGGCCAACACAAACCUUGGCUACAACUCGAAUAGCUUGCCUCGCAACGGCGGCACGUCGCCAUAUCUCUCCCAGCAGCAUCAGCAGCAGCAGCAGCAACAGCCUUUGGGCGAUCUGGACGAUCGCGGUCGCAGCAAAAAACGUAAUUUCUUUGGCACCCUUAAGAAGCGACUCAGUCGCUCCAAGACACGUACUCUAUCGGCCGAUCAGCCCAAUAACCACCAUCAAUCACUAUCAGCCACCAAUACCGCCAAUACAACAACAGCCACAGGACUCACAAGAACAGCCACAGGAGCCCUCAAUGGUGAAUCUUCACGUUCAUUAUCUGUCGAUCGUGCCACUUUGUCUAAAAGCAAUUCACUUGGACCCCGCAUGGGCAUUGGCUCAUCCAUCGACCAUUCACGUCGCUCUUCAAUUUCAGAAUCCUCUGCCAUCUCAGGCUUCUCAUCGGCUAGCAAUAAAACCUACGUUCAUGAGGCCUCCACACUGGUGCUGGAGACCAUUGAGAAUGGCGUCAAGCGACACUUUAUUGUGCCGCUGGCCAUCGCGCAACGUCCUCGCUGGCGCCGCAAGGGCACCAAAUUGCACAUCUAUAAUGAUCACACGUUCAUUGCCAAGCAUUUGAGUGGUGGUGGCUUGCAAUGCUCCAUCUGCAUGAAGUCCAUACCGCGCCGACCUGGAAAGCAGGGUUACGAGUGUCGCGAUUGUCAGAUAAUCUGUCACAAGCAAUGUCACAUACGCGCGCCCCAGGCGUGUCCCAAUCCAACGGUACUCUCCAUGGAACUGAUGACUAAUGAAUGAGCAGUAAAAAAUAUUUUGCACAAUUAAAAUAAAAAAGAAAUAUACAAUAUUUAUAGUUAUUUUUUUUUAAGUUUAACUAAAAUGGUAUUAAACAAAAGUUUGAAACCACUUGUGCGGCAUUUGCCUUAUUUCAUUUGAUUUCGUAAUUUUGACGCCAUUUGUAAAGUUUUUAAAGCACAUGAGCAGACAAGUUACAUGAAUUGAAAACAGAGAUCAACUGAGAUGCGUUUAGGUCCUGAGACUGAAAGGUCUUAGAAAAGCUGCAAAGGGUUUUAGAAAACUAUCUUAUAGUCUAGUCAAAUGGAACUAAGCUUAACUCAGCGGCGGCGGAUCGAAGCAUACGUAAAUUGUAGGAACUGCAACAGCAUGUUUAGGAUAUAAAGAAACAACAUAAAUCGAAAUAAAACUUACUAAUAUUUUUGCAUACCUUACACCUUAAGGAAGGAAUCGAAAACAGAAAUAACCUGGAGCUACACGAACAGUUAUCAUUUAUGUUAUUUAUUUUAUACACAAGUGCAAUAUUUUGGUUUUCUUUUAAUUUACAUGUACGUGUUUUCUAUUGAAUACACAAGCUUAAGUCACUCUGUAAAGUCUUCGUACGUGUAUUUUGUAUUUUCUACAAAGCAAUGAUAAUAAUUGUAAAAACGAAUAAUAAUUUUUCGAAUAAAAAUCGCUGGAAAAAGAGAAAA